rnacentral:rRNA from 1 species
GUUAGGAAUAUUGGACAAUGGGCGCAAGCCUGAUCCAGCCAUGCCGCGUGAACGAUGAAGGCCUUCGGGUUGUAAAGUUCUUUAGCCGAUGAUUAUAAUGACUGUAGUCGGAAAAUAAGCCCCGGCUAACUUCGUGCCAGCAGCCGCGGUAAUACGAAGGGGGCGAGCGUUAUUCGGAAUCACUGGGCGUAAAGCGUGCGUAGGCGGUUUUGUAAGUUAGGAGUGAAAGCCCAGGGCUCAACCUUGGAAUUGCUCUUAAAACUGCAAGGCUCGAAUCUCGGAGAGGAUAGCGGAAUUUCCAGUGUAGCAGUGAAAUGCGUAGAUAUUGGAAGGAACACCAGUGGCGUAAGCGGCUAUCUGGACGAGUAUUGACGCUGAGGCACGAAAGCGUGGGGAUCAAACAGGAUUAGAUACCCUUGUAGUCC